GACGAACGCUGGCGGCGUGCUUAACACAUGCAAGUCGAACGAAGAGCGAUGGAAGCUUGCUUCUAUCAAUCUUAGUGGCGAACGGGUGAGUAACGCGUAAUCAACCUGCCCUUCAGAGGGGGACAACAGUUGGAAACGACUGCUAAUACCGCAUACGAUUCAACCUUGGCAUCGAGGAUGAAUGAAAGGUGGCCUCUAUAUAUAAGCUAUCACUGAAGGAGGGGAUUGCGUCUGAUUAGCUAGUUGGAGGGGUAACGGCCCACCAAGGCGAUGAUCAGUAGCCGGUCUGAGAGGAUGAACGGCCACAUUGGGACUGAGACACGGCCCAGACUCCUACGGGAGGCAGCAGUGGGGAAUCUUCCGCAAUGGACGAAAGUCUGACGGAGCAACGCCGCGUGAGUGAUGACGGCCUUCGGGUUGUAAAGCUCUGUUAAUCGGGACGAAAGGUCUUCUUGCGAAUAGUUAGAAGAAUUGACG
rnacentral:rRNA from 1 species